UAACAAGGUUUCCGUAGGUGAACGUGCGGAAGGAUCAUUG
rnacentral:rRNA from 1 species